AGCUCCAGAUAUUCCCAUGAGCUUCUCCCAGGCAGAUGAGCCACAAGAUACUUGGGGUGAACACUCAUCUGACAUUCAAGAGAAUGCAUUUUCUGUGCUGAGACCUUCAAGUUCCAAGCAAGAAAGAACACAGCCUCAUUUCAGAGAGAGCUUCUCUCAUGCAGACCGCCAGCUGGAAACUUGGGAAGAACACCCAUCUAUCACUCAAG